CCUACGGGAGGCAGCAGUGGGGAAUAUUGGGCAAUGGGCGCAAGCCUGACCCAGCCACGUCGCGUGAAGGAAGAAGGCUUUCGGGUUGUAAACUUCUUUUCUCAGGGACGAAGCAAGUGACGGUACCUGAGGAAUAAGCCACGGCUAACUACGUGCCAGCAGCCGUGGUAAUACGUCGGUGGCAAGCGUUAUCCGGAUUUACUGGGUGUAAAGGGCGUGUAGGCGGGACUGCAAGUCAGAUGUGAAAACCACGGGCUCAACCUGUGGCCUGCGUUUGAAACUGUAGUUCUUGAGUACUGGGGAGGCAGACGGAAUUCGUAGUGUAGCGGUGAAAUGCGUAGAUAUUAGGAGGAACACCAGUGGCGAAGGCGGUCUGCUGGACAGCAACUGACGCUGAGGCGCGAAGGCGUGGGGAGCAAACAGGAUUAGAUACCCGGGUAGUC
rnacentral:rRNA from 1 species